GCACGCAGCAGCCAGCAUGUGUGAUUGAGAUGCCGCCAGAAAAGGACUCUUCGUUGUCGGCCAACGUGCCGCCGACUCCAUCCGACGGCGAUUUAGCUGCGUGUACCGUGGAGGCCGACUUGGAUCUGCCAAAGGACUGCUUUCUGUUUCCGAAGCAGAACGACGCCUUCCAGAUCCCGUACUUUCUCUCGAGUUCCGAGGAGGUGGACAAGAUUCGGCCUCCCGCUGUCGUGAAGACGUGGGAGCAGCGCCACGGAGAGCUCGAGGAAGCACAGAAACGCAAGCUGGAUGACUUCAAGAAGAUGGUCGCCGCUGCGCCAUGGUAUGAGGAAGAGAAGUUCGACAAUUGGCUUUGUCUCCGUUACCUUAUCGCCCGCAGCUUCAACCUCAAUGAGGCGUUCUCCAUGCUGGAGAACACCGUCAAGUGGUGGAAGGAAACGGGGUCGGAGACGUGGCGGUGUGAUGCCUGCAUGGAGAACCCGAAUCACCACAUGGGCCAGUUCAUUGGGUGGGACAAGGAGCACCGCCCCGUCAUGUUCAUGUCGAUGCGUUGGGGCCCGGAGCGCAAGAGCCCGCUGCGGCACAUGGUGUGUUCCUUCAACCACUUGAUCCGCAUGAUGCCUGUCGGGGUCGAGAAGUGGGUCUGCCUGACGGACUUCGAAACGUACUCGCACCUGCACGACGGCAAGCCGUCCGUAGGCAUAGGCGUCAUCCGCGUGAUUCAGGACCACUACCCGGAGCGACUAGGCAAGAUGGUGUGCAUCAACCCGCCGAAGCUCUUCUCCAUGCUGUGGAAGCUCUUCCUUCCAGCGAUCGACCCCGUCACCCGCACGAAGGUGGAGUUUCUGUGGACAGAGGCGCAGCCGAGCGUGUGUGAGACAUUCCCGCGCCUGUUCCCGAAGCACCUCAGCCAGUACCUGAGCGACUCCUACGACCGGAGCAAGUACAACCUGCCCGCCACGCCGCUCGUGUGGCAUCCACGGCCCGAGGGCUACCCCAAGAACUUCGAGGAGCGCAAGCAUCAACUGAAGGCAAUGAAGGAGAGGGAGAAAGGCGACAAGAAGGACGCGAAGAAGGCCGCGCACGCUGCCAAAAAGCGGGACAAGGAGGAGCAGCGCCGUCAACGGCACGAGAAGACGCAGCCAUAGAAAGGUGUCUCAGAGGUUACCGUCGCGAACAGGAGCACCGUGGGCAAUCAGAGCGGGCCUGCGCCGCUCCCUCAGGCACCGGCAACGCUAGUUCGAGUUCUGCAGCUGUCGAAUCAGCCUCGGCGGUGUGAGGUGAGGCGUAGUCGCGGAGCGGGGGCCCACGGAAUAAGGUGCACGCGCUACUCAAGGGAAAUGCUUGCCAUGCGGUUUAGUCCUUCUGGGUCCCCUGCUGUCUCCCCCUCCCCCUCUCCUCUCCUGCUGUUGUGUGCCACAUAUCGGACCCCCCCUCCCUUUUUUUGUUCGCGUCUUUCUCCACCGGUUCUUCCCGAAUUAGAAACCGCAGCUGUGGCGAUGGACGAGGGGAGGAGGGUGAAUUUGGUGAGGGAGGCUGAUGGUUCCACAAUCCUCAAGCAGUCUCUGUGUGCGUCGUUCGCCCUCCCACACCACCUCCCCCCAACCACCGUCCUCUCCCUAUUUCUUGUUGUAAUGGCCUUGUGUUUUGCCUGCCUUGUUUCCUUCUCUCCCUUCCCCUACUCACCACUGUCCUCCAUGCGCGUUGUGUUGUAUUCCACGUCAAAAUGUCCGAGAUGUAUCAAUGCCUGCGACGGCGUGCAUGUGCGCGCCGCGUUUCCACGUACGCGGAGAGGCAGUAAAUGGAGUUGAUGUUGCUAAAUUAACUGGGCCGUCGGUAGCGCUCAUGUCUGUAUUUGUAGCCUCGUGUGGAGUCCCUCUGCUCGCCGCCGCUUUGCUUUCGCUGUUGCUGCUGUUUGCUUGCGAUGUGAUGGCCUCAUGGCAGAAAAGCUGAGAGGACGCCGACAAGGGGUGCUGCCGCCGUCGCUCAGCGGUGCGUUGAUCGACCGAGCGUGUGAAGCUAAGGCGUGUCUGCUUCUUUUUCCCCUCUCCGCGCUGCCGUUUUCCCACGAACAAACAGGCGCAUACCUAAACAGCCACACACGCAUGCUUGCCGCUAAGCUCCGCUUUUACCCUCCUCCCUUCCGAGUCGUUUCUUUCUUCGCUCCAGUCUCCUACAAUUCGUUCUCGACUUCUUUUCUUUCUCCUUGGUUCCUGCGUCGUGCCUCAUAAGUGGCCCCGCUGCUCUGCGCGCUCGCCUGCGCGUGUGUGCGUGCAGGUGCGGGAGAGAGAAUGUCCGGGAGAAGGGAACGGGUAGGCAGACAGACAAAGGGGACCAAAGGAAAGUGUCAAGGGCGGAUCAAGCGGAGAGGAGAGAAAACUAGGUACACAACAUUC
rnacentral:misc_RNA from 1 species